rnacentral:rRNA from 1 species
UACGGUGGGGUUUUGGGUUUUUCCUUUUUGGGGCCCCCCCGGGGGUUUUACCUUUUUAUUGUUCUUCGCGUUCUUUCUCGUGUUGGGAAAUUUUGGAUUGGGAUUACAAAUUUCCCACAGGGAAAAAUCUUUGGCCCAUGUAAUUUCGCCCAGGUUUAGAAAUUACCCUUUUAACUAUCCCCGCUAACUUUAAGCAUUUCAAAAGGCGGAGGAAAGGAAACUUACAAAGAUUCCUUCAGUAACGGCGAGUGAAGCCGGAAGAGCUCAAAUUUAAAAUCUGGGCGUAAAAGCCCGAAUUGUAGUCUAAGGAGGCGUUUUCGGACACGAGUUUUUUGUACAAGUUCCCUGGAAUGGGACAUCACAGAGGGUGAGAAUCCCGUUUGGACGAUGAACGAGUGGACAUAUGAGACGUUCUCAAAGAGUCGAGGUUGUUUGGGAUUGCAGCUCAAAAUGGGAGGUAAAUUUCUUCUAAGGCUAAAUAAAGGCAAGAGACCGAUAGCAAACAAGUACCGUGAGGGAAAGAUGAAAAGCACCUUGAAAAGGGAGUUAAAAGCGCGUGAAAUUGUUAAAAGGGAAACGAUUGAAGCCAGUAGGCCCGUGGAGAGUUCAAUGGUGUCCCAUCGAGUAUAGCUCCGAAAGAGAGUGCCUAAUCGUACCUCUAGCUGCGUACGUAGGUGAUCACCGUGCAUUCUUUCCAUGGAUAGUCAGUGCCAAUUUGGUGAGUUGUCGGAUAAGGACUUAGGAAAUAUGGCCAUCAUUCCAAUUUUGGCUUUAUAGCCCUAAGUAGAAACGAUGACCUGGAUUGGAAUCGACAACAGCUAACAGGAACGCAAUAUCUGCAGUUGUGGACGUUUGAGAAUCAGUCGAGUCUUGAUCGGCAUCUAUCUGUGAAAUGGUGUUUUGGAAGCUGUAGUGAGUUCUGUCGAAAUGGCUUUAAACGACCCGUCUUGAAAACACGGAAGGGCGAAUUCGCGGCCCGCCUAAAAUUCAAAUUCCCCCCCUCU